rnacentral:tRNA from 1 species
GUUUUAAUAGUUUAAAGUAAAAAUAAUGAUUUUGUAAAUCAUGGAUGGGAAUACCUUUAAAACU